CUCUUAACUAUGAUUGGCUCCCAAAGUAACACAUCUUCUAGGGGGACCCAAUCAGAGUCUUGAUUUGGGCCACCAGGUUCUAAAUACAUAGCUGAAAUAAGUGGGCAUGAGCAUGGACCUUGGGAGAGACGUCGGGGGCAGACCAGGGAGCGUUAACCUCUGCAAACUUGUCUCAAAGUUCACUCCAUCAGGAGUUAUUGAGUACCUACUUACCAUGUAGGCAUGAUACCCAUAAUCAUGGUGAAAUCUACCUCGUUGCCGUGUGCGGCCAGACAUCACAUGACAUGUGACCUUAUUUAAUCCUCCUUACAGUUCUUGGAGGAAGGACUAUUACGAUUCCAUUCGACAGAAAAGGAACUAAGACCUAAAUGCACUAAGCCACAUGCUCAAGGCCGACAAGCCAGGACCAGCCCGGUUCUGGGGGUCUCUGAACCACGCUGUCAGUCGGUGAAUGGCCUUCCUUUGCACAAGAAGGAGUCAUUCCCAGGACCUUUCACCUGUGGGGCCCUUCCCUAGGCUGGGGCUGGGUUUCACACUCACUGCCCUGAUUUCCUCUCAAAGGAGGAAAAAAAUCUUUGGCCAUGAAGAAGCACAAGAGUUUUAACCAACCCGUCCAUCCUAGGGAGCUCAGACCUGCUUCUCCCAUUGACAGCAUGUUGGGUUUCUGACGCCUCCUGAUUCCCUGCUGUAUUCUGAUGUUCACAACCCCCGCCCCCCCACCCAGAAGCCCAGGCUGCUUCAGAGUAUGUGUCUCCUCAGCUCCAACAUGGACAGAGCGCCCCACCUUACCCUGAGGUAUUUCUUGUGCCGUAUUACAUAUUCAAAUGCAAUUACAAAACAGGAUCUUAUGGAGUAAAUAUCGUGAUGUCAAUAGUUUCCACUAUCGUAAUAAUUUACGUAAGACAGAAAAAUCACUUCCAGAAUCUGAGCAAGUCUAAGUU
rnacentral:lncRNA from 1 species